GUUGACUCGAGGCCAAAGUGCUUGGUGAUUGAUGAAAUAGAUGGAGCUCUUGGUGAUGGCAAAGGUGCUGUGGAGGUUAUUCUAAAGAUGGUUUCUGCAGAUAAGAAGUCUGAUACAGGGAAGGAGAAUUUUCCAAAUGAAGAAAAUCAUGAAAGUACAUAGAAAGUUUAUCAUUCAUAUGGAGUUUCCUUUUCAUGAUUCCCUGGAAAAUGGUAC